rnacentral:lncRNA from 1 species
AUGCACUGGGUUCCAGGUCCUGGAGAAGCCGGGGAGGGUGGGGGCAGGUGUCUCUGCGCAUCCGCAUUUUCCAGAACUUUCCUUGGAAGUUGCUGCUACCCUCCAAUAUUCCCUGUAGGUCUGAGCACCCUCCUCCCCGGCAGGGAAGGGGCGGGCCCUGGGAGGUGCCCGGCAGAGGGAGACGAUUCUCUGCCUAAAGGCUGCUCCCCUCUGUGUCUUCUCCUGCUCAGCCUUCUGGGCCAGCAUGUGUCUCCGGCCCCCUGGCCUUCCUCCCUGCCCUGGGUUCGUUCCCAGGGCCCCCUUGGUUGUGUAACUUGGCUCUUACAAACUCAGGGAGGGAGCUGGGGCCCUGGGUGGCUGGGAAGGUGGAGCGAGUCAGCAGCGAAUGUGAAGGAAGGGCCACCGCACAGCACAGCCUAUGCCUCCGGCUCGAAAGCCCAAAGCCCUGGCCGUACCUAGAGGACUGACAUUUACAGCGGUGCCCCCCGACUCCCGCCAGGCUGCACUGCCAGCAAAGAGAUUCAAUUAUGGUCAUUAUGGUGCACUUAGGAAACCCAGGGAGCAGGCUAAUACAUUUCAGAAAGAUUUGCAACAGCAGAGGAUGGAUCAAAACGAGUUUUCUACUUAACCCUCAGUUAAACAGAAAAUCCAUUUAACCACAAGGCAUCGCUCUGUCUUCGCACUCUCCAGUCAAUCAUUUUUUUUUUUCCUUUACUGUCUGUCGCUUCAAUGUAUAGUGUUAUUCCCUGAAGCUGCCUUAGCGUGAAAAAAUCAGUUCAUUGAUGGAGAGAAAGAGGUCCCCAACCUCUGUGGGUUUGCAGCCCCGGAUCCACAUCCUGACCCCUGGCUUUCUCCAAAAGGGCACAGGCGAGCACAUUGCUUCUAUCCAGGGCCGCCAAAUUUGCUGGUAGGCUCUGGAAGAAGCAGCUCCAUGGGUCCAGGGGGGAGAGCUAAUUCUCACCUCCCACGAGCCCCUCCUCCUCCCUCCCGGGAGCAAACCAAACAUCUGCAGUGGUUGGAAGCUCCCCGAAGAGGCCGUGAAAGGAUAUGCUCAGAGGGACCAGAAGGGCUGGAUUCCUCAACCUCCAAGCUCGCUAAGCCACAGCGCGGUGGAGAGAGGAGCUGUCUCGUCGGGAAGGCACGAUCAAGAGAAGGGCUAGGAUUCAAGGCAGCGAGGGUGCUGCCCACGCAAUGGGAAAGAAAAGUUAUCAGCCAGCCAGUUUUCUCUAGCAUGAAACAAAUCGGCAUCAACCACACACAUGGGACAAGACACUCCAGGCACAGAGUUGCCGGAUAAAAUCCAAGAUGCUCAGUCAAGUUUGAAUUUCAGGUAAACAGUAAAUAAUGUUGUAGCUUAUGUUCCAAAUGGUCCACGGGACCAAUACCGACGGGACAUACUUGCCCAGGAAAAAAAAAAAAAAAAGAUUCGCUGUCUAUGCAAAGUUCAAAUUUACCUAAG